rnacentral:rRNA from 1 species
CUACGUGCCAGCAGCCGCGGUAAUACGUAGGUCCCGAGCGUUGUCCGGAUUUAUUGGGCGUAAAGCGAGCGCAGGCGGUUUGAUAAGUCUGAAGUUAAAGGCUGUGGCUCAACCAUAGUUCGCUUUGGAAACUGUCAAACUUGAGUGCAGAAGGGGAGAGUGGAAUUCCAUGUGUAGCGGUGAAAUGCGUAGAUAUAUGGAGGAACACCGGUGGCGAAAGCGGCUCUCUGGUCUGUAACUGACGCUGAGGCGCGAAAGCCAGGGGAGCGAACGGGAUUAGAUACCCCGGUAGUCCUGGCCGUAAACGAUGGGUACUAGGUGUAGGAGGUAUCGACCCCUUCUGUGCCGGAGUUAACGCAAUAAGUACCCCGCCUGGGGAGUACGACCGCAAGGUUGAAACUCAAAGGAAUUGACGGGGGCCCGCACAAGCGGUGGAGUAUGUGGUUUAAUUCGACGCAACGCGAAGAACCUUACCAGGUCUUGACAUUGAKGACAGAACUAGAGAUAG